AUGUUCUCUGUGUCUCUAGUGCUGCUACUGGCAGCCACAUCCUGUGUCCACUCUGAUGAGCUGAUUCAGCCUGACUUUCAGACUGUUCGUCCAGGUCAGCAAAUGACCAUCAACUGCAAGGUCUCAUAUUCUGUUACUAGCUCUGGUACAGGUUGGAUUCGACAACCAGCAGGAAAAACUCUGGAGUAUAUUGGAAUUAUCUGGGGUGGUGGGAGCUUAGACUAUAAAGAGUCUCUGAAAAACAAGUUCAGCAUCUCAAGAGACACCAGCAGUAACACAAUAACAUUACAAGGGAAUAAUCUACAGACUGAAGACACAGCUGUGUAUUAUUGUGCCAAAGUGUAUUACACACAGUGUUAUAAACUAUCAGCUAUCCUUUACAGAAACCUCUGUGCAGGAAUUAUGAAAAGUCUGAACAUCUACCAGACAGAGAAUAACAGGGUUAUGGAGUUUACCCAGGAGCAAGAACACGUCCUAAACCUGGCACGGCAGGGUUAG